rnacentral:hammerhead_ribozyme from 1 species
AUCCGGAUGACGAGUCCCCGAAUAGGACGAAAUGUGCAUCCUGGAU